UACGAGGGGGGCAAGCGUUGCUCGGAAUUAUUGGGCGUAAAGCGCGCGCAGGCGGUCCUUUAAGUCUGAUGUGAAAGCCCACGGCUCAACCGUGGAGGGUCAUUGGAAACUGGGGGACUUGAGUACAGAAGAGAAGAGUGGAAUUCCACGUGUAGCGGUGAAAUGCGUAGAGAUGUGGAGGAACACCAGUGGCGAAGGCGACUCUUUGGUCUGUAACUGACGCUGAGGCGCGAAAGCGUGGGGAGCAAACAGG
rnacentral:rRNA from 1 species